GACGAACGCUGGCGGCGUGCCUAAUACAUGCAAGUUGAGCGCUGAAGGUUGGUACUUGUACCAACUGGAUGAGCAGCGAACGGGUGAGUAACGCGUGGGGAAUCUGCCUUUGAGCGGGGGACAACAUUUGGAAACGAAUGCUAAUACCGCAUAAAAACUUUAAACACAAGUUUUAAGUUUGAAAGAUGCAAUUGCAUCACUCAAAGAUGAUCCCGCGUUGUAUUAGCUAGUUGGUGAGGUAAAGGCUCACCAAGGCGAUGAUACAUAGCCGACCUGAGAGGGUGAUCGGCCACAUUGGGACUGAGACGCGGCCCAAACUCCUACGGGAGGCAGCAGUAGGGAAUCUUCGGCAAUGGACGAAAGUCUGACCGAGCAACGCCGCGGGAGUGAAGAAGGUUUUCGGAUCGUAAAACUCUGUUGGUAGAGAAGAACGUUGGUGAGAGUGGAAAGCUCAUCAAGUGACGGUAACUACCCAGAAAGGGACGGCUAACUACGUG
rnacentral:rRNA from 1 species